rnacentral:rRNA from 1 species
CCUACGGGUGGCUGCAGUGAGGAAUAUUGGUCAAUGGCCGUAAGGCUGAACCAGCCAAGUCGCGUGAAGGAAGAAGGAUCUCUGGUUUUUAAACUUCUUUUAUAGGGGAAUAAAGGUAUCCACGUGUGGAUUUUUGCUUGUACCCUAUGAAUAAGCAUGGGCUAACUCCGUGCCAGCAGCCGCGGUAAUACGGAGUAUGCGAGCGUUAUCCGGAUUUAUUGGGUAUAAAGGGUGCGUAGGUUGUUUUUUAAGUCCUAGGUGAAAGUUUGUGGCUCAACCAUAAGAUUGCCGUUGAAACUGGAAGACUUGAGUGUGUUUGAGGUAGGCGGAAUGCGUGGUGUAGCGGUGAAAUGCAUAGAUAUCACACAGAACUCCGAUUGCGAAGGCAGCUUACUAAGCCAUAACUGACACUGAAGCACGAAAGCGUAGGGAUCAAACAGGAUUAGAUACCCGGGUAGUC